rnacentral:rRNA from 1 species
AAGUAGGGGAUCGCAAGACCUUGCGCUUUUGGAGCGGCCGAUGCCUGAUUAGCUAGUUGGUGGGGUAAGGGCCUACCAAGGCGACGAUCAGUAGUUGGUCUGAGAGGACGACCAGCCACACUGGGACUGAGACACGGCCCAGACUCCUACGGGAGGCAGCAGUGGGGAAUUUUGGACAAUGGGCGAAAGCCUGAUCCAGCAAUGCCGCGUGAGUGAAGAAGGCCUUCGGGUUGUAAAGCUCUUUCAGUCGAGAAGAAAAGGUUGUGACUAAUAAUCACAACUCAUGACGGUAUCGACAGAAGAAGCACCGGCUAACUACGUGCCAGCAGCCGCGGUAAUACGUAGGGUGCGAGCGUUAAUCGGAAUUACUGGGCGUAAAGGGUGCGCAGGCGGCUUUGUAAGUCAGAUGUGAAAUCCCCGGGCUUAACCUGGGAAUUGCGUUUGAAACUACAAAGCUAGAGU